rnacentral:rRNA from 1 species
CAACUUUCAGCAACGGAUCUCUUGGCUCUCGCAUCGAUGAAGAACGCAGCGAAAUGCGAUAAGUAAUGUGAAUUGCAGAAUUCAGUGAAUCAUCGAAUCUUUGAACGCACCUUGCGCCCUUUGGUAUUCCGAAGGGCAUGCCUGUUUGAGUGUCA